rnacentral:rRNA from 1 species
CUGGCGGCGUGCUAUAAUGCAAGUCGAGCGGAAGUUUCAAAAGCUUGCUUUUGGAACUUCAGCGGCGGACGGGUGAGUAACACGUGGGCAACCUGCCUGUAAGACUGGGAUAACUUCGGGAAACCGGAGCUAAUACCGGAUAAUCCUUUCCUUCACAUGGAGGGAAGCUGAAAGACGGUUUCGGCUGUCACUUACAGAUGGGCCCGCGGCGCAUUAGCUAGUUGGUGGGGUAACGGCCCACCAAGGCGACGAUGCGUAGCCGACCUGAGAGGGUGAUCGGCCACACUGGGACUGAGACACGGCCCAGACUCCUACGGGAGGCAGCAGUAGGGAAUCUUCCGCAAUGGACGAAAGUCUGACGGAGCAACGCCGCGUGAGCGAAGAAGGCCUUCGGGUCGUAAAGCUCUGUUGUCAGGGAAGAACAAGUACCGGAGUAACUGCCGGUACCUUGACGGUACCUGACCAGAAAGCCACGGCUAACUACGUGCCAGCAGCCGCGGUAAUACGUAGGUGGCAAGCGUUGUCCGGAAUUAUUGGGCGUAAAGCGCGCGCAGGCGGCCUCUUAAGUCUGAUGUGAAAGCCCACGGCUCAACCGUGGAGGGUCAUUGGAAACUGGGGGGCUUGAGUGCAGAAGAGGAGAGCGGAAUUCCACGUGUAGCGGUGAAAUGCGUAGAGAUGUGGAGGAACACCAGUGGCGAAGGCGGCUCUCUGGUCUGUAACUGACGCUGAGGCGCGAAAGCGUGGGGAGCGAACAGGAUUAGAUACCCUGGUAGUCCA